rnacentral:rRNA from 1 species
AGUCGAGCGAACCGACGGGAGCUUGCUCCCUUAGGUUAGCGGCGGACGGGUGAGUAACACGUGGGUAACCUGCCUGUAAGACUGGGAUAACUCCGGGAAACCGGGGCUAAUACCGGAUGCUUGAUUGAACCGCAUGGUUCAAUUAUAAAAGGUGGCUUUUAGCUACCACUUACAGAUGGACCCGCGGCGCAUUAGCUAGUUGGUGAGGUAACGGCUCACCAAGGCGACGAUGCGUAGCCGACCUGAGAGGGUGAUCGGCCACACUGGGACUGAGACACGGCCCAGACUCCUACGGGAGGCAGCAGUAGGGAAUCUUCCGCAAUGGACGAAAGUCUGACGGAGCAACGCCGCGUGAGUGAUGAAGGUUUUCGGAUCGUAAAACUCUGUUGUUAGGGAAGAACAAGUACCGUUCGAACAGGGCGGUGCCUUGACGGUACCUAACCAGAAAGCCACGGCUAACUACGUGCCAGCAGCCGCGGUAAUACGUAGGUGGCAAGCGUUGUCCGGAAUUAUUGGGCGUAAAGCGCGCGCAGGCGGUUUCUUAAGUCUGAUGUGAAAGCCCCCGGCUCAACCGGGGAGGGUCAUUGGAAACUGGGGAACUUGAGUGCAGAAGAGGAGAGUGGAAUUCCACGUGUAGCGGUGAAAUGCGUAGAGAUGUGGAGGAACACCAGUGGCGAAGGCGACUCUCUGGUCUGUAACUGACGCUGAGGCGCGAAAGCGUGGGGAGCGAACAGGAUUAGAUACCCUGGUAGUCCACGCCGUAAACGAUGAGUGCUAAGUGUUAGAGGGUUUCCGCCCUUUAGUGCUGCAGCAAACGCAUUAAGCACUCCGCCUGGGGAGUACGGUCGCAAGACUGAAACUCAAAGGAAUUGACGGGGGCCCGCACAAGCGGUGGAGCAUGUGGUUUAAUUCGAAGCAACGCGAAGAACCUUACCAGGUCUUGACAUCCUCUGACACCCCUAGAGAUAGGGCUUCCCCUUCGGGGGCAGAGUGACAGGUGGUGCAUGGUUGUCGUCAGCUCGUGUCGUGAGAUG